rnacentral:lncRNA from 1 species
GUCGCCUUGGAAACGGAGGCCGGGCGGCUGCGGCGGAUUGAGCCUGCCAGGCCUGCAGGCGGAAGGCGAGAGCUAUCUCCCUGCCCACUUCUGUGCAUCUGCACCUGGAAGCCAUCGAGGGGAGAACCCCUGGAUUGCGUUACUUAUUCGCCUCUCGAGAUCUUCAGCUCCUGGAGGGUAGGAUCUGAUUUUGAUCCAGCUGCAGUUAGGUAACUAAUUGCACAUUGGUCGGAAAGUUGAAAACAUAAGAAGCAACUGAGCAAGAUGAGGUCAUUAUUUUCCUCCAGCACCAGAUGGGUACCACAGGUGGGAACCAUAACACUGGAUCUCUUCCAUAUGAUGCAGAAAGAAAAUUA